CAGCCACACCACGUUGAAAACCGGUUCUCGUAUAAUCACCGAAGUUAAGAAACGUCGAGCCUGGUCAGUACCUAGAUGGGUGACCAUUUGGGAAUACCAGAUGCUGAA